UAAAGGAAAAUCUGUUUGUAGGGGAGGCUUUGCAUAAUUGUGCUCUCGGUUACCAGCUGGGAACAAACCCAGAGCCCCCGUGGAUGGGCUGGAGCUGACUCUCUCAGCUUUCUCACUUUCAGUUUGUCCCAAUUAGAAGCACGUAUAUGGGGAUUAUCCCUGAUUUUCACCCAGGCCCUUCAGGGUCUCAUUUCUACCAGGAAUAGUAACUCUGAGCAGGCUACACAUUCUGACCUCUUAAAGCUUGCUUUUUUUUGUUGUUUUUUUUUUCCCUGCAUAACUCUGGGUGGAGAUGUUCAGGAAUCUCCUCCCGACACUUUGCUUUCCAGGUCAGGAAAACAUGCUCAGGACUUGAAAACUUUGACAGGGCUGCUAAAUGCCAGACCACUUUGCUGCAUGAGGAGCCAGCAGACUUGGAGGCAGAGGAGGAUCCUGCAGCACUAAAAAGCUUCACCUUUUACUCAAGCCCAAGGUUUCCUUUCAUUUGCGUCCUGUGAAGACAUUGCUCUCUCAGUGGGUUAGACAAGACAUUGCCCGGUGAAUAAAAACCAAGUUGGGAAAGUUUUUAA